rnacentral:rRNA from 1 species
UUGCCCUACGGGACGCAGCAGUGAGGAAUAUUGGUCAAUGGGCGCGAGCCUGAACCAGCCAAGUCGCGUGAGGGAUGACGGUCCUACGGAUUGUAAACCUCUUUUGCCGGGGAGCAAGCGUGCGUUCGUGAACGCACGUCGAGAGUACCCGGAGAAAAAGCAUCGGCUAACUCCGUGCCAGCAGCCGCGGUAAUACGGAGGAUGCGAGCGUUAUCCGGAUUUAUUGGGUUUAAAGGGUGCGUAGGCGGACAGUCAAGUCAGCGGUAAAAAUGCGGUGCUCAACGCCGUACAGCCGUUGAAACUGG